GUAGAUACUUGAAAGUAUUCAUUUUUUCUGUUUCAUGAGAUUACAUUUAAAACUAUGAACACAGUGCCACAGUAGGAAUAAUGUCAUUCUGUUGAAAUUCUGUAAGGUGGCAGUUACAACCACUCCACAGAACUUUGUUUUCCACAGAAACAAGGUGUUGGUUGCACACAUUUAGUUUACAGAACACAGGUUGUCCCAAGUUGUUAAACCUCAAGAAAGGAUGUCAAAACUGGGAGACAAAGUGAACCAGCCAGUGUAGAGCUUCAGUGAACACAUUGUGUUAUGGAUGGAGGAACAAGCUUUUAAAGAGGAGAAUACUGUUCACAUUACAGUGCCUCUCACUUUUAGCUUAAACUUAGGUUUAGGACAAGCAGGAGGACAAAUUAUUUUUUUGUUUGUUUGUUUGUUUGUUUGUUUUUUAAGAUAAGGUCUCACUGUGUGAACCUUUUAGACCUGGAAUGUAGACCAGGCAGCUUUGAACUCACAAAAAUCAGCCUAUCUCUGCUUCUGCUUUCUGGGUACUGGAAUUAAAUGUGUGAAUAACCAUACCUGGAAGAUUUUGGUCUUUUGAGAUGAGGUCUGACUCUGUAGUUCAUGUUGGCCUAGAACUCAGAAUAUAGACUUGAACUCAGGAUAUUCUUCCUUCCCAUGUGCCAGGAUUACAGGUGAGAGUUACCACACUUGGCAUAGCAUAAUAUUUUGAUGGUAUGGCAUAAUGGAGCAGCUUGCUUGCUUAUAGGACAUGAGAGAGACCAAAUUAAUUUCCAUUUAGAAAACUUUGAACUCAGUCGCCAUAAUAUGUUACAAAAUAAGUCACCCUGAUGAGAAGGAAUUCAAAUAGUAGUUUAUUUUGUUUCCUUAGAUGUUAUAAAUGAAGCUAUUUAAUGUGUUAAUAAAUGUCUACUUUGUAAAAGUUAAAAAAAGCAAGCCAGGUAGUGGUAGUGUGGGCCUGUAAGCUCAGCACUCAGGGGGCUACUCAGGCAGUCCUCUGAGUUCAAGGCCUGCUUGGUCUAUAGAGUCAGUUUCUGGACAGCCAGGGCUGUUUGUUAUACAGAGAAACCCUGAUUUAAGAAAAAAGAAAGG
rnacentral:lncRNA from 1 species